GACGAACGCUGGCGGCGUGCUUAACACAUGCAAGUCGAACGAUGAAGAAGAGAAACGCGAACUUCGGUUCAAAUUUCACUUCGGAUUAGUGGCAGACGGGUGAGUAACGCGUGAGCAACCUACCUCUUACAAAGGGAUAGCCUCGGGAAACCGUGAUUAAUACCAUAUGACACAUUCAUAAGGCAUCUUAAGAAUGUUAAAGCUACGGCGGUAAGAGAUGGGCUCGCGUCCCAUUAGCUAGUUGGUGAGGUAACGGCCCACCAAGGCGACGAUGGGUAACCAGCCUGAGAGGGUGAACGGUCACAUUGGAACUGAGACACGGUCCAAACUCCUACGGGAAGCAGCAGUGGGGAAUAUUGCACAAUGGAGGGAACUCUGAUGCAGCGACGCCGCGUGAGCGAUGAAGGAAUUCGUUUCGUAAAGCUCUGUUCUAUGGGAAGAAAAGGACUGUACCAUAGGAGAAAGCCCCGGCUAAAUACGUG
rnacentral:rRNA from 1 species